rnacentral:rRNA from 1 species
GAUGAACGCUGGCGGCGUGCCUAAUACAUGCAAGUCGAGCGAACAGACGAGGAGCUUGCUCCUCUGACGUUAGCGGCGGACGGGUGAGUAACACGUGGAUAACCUACCUAUAAGACUGGGAUAACUUCGGGAAACCGGAGCUAAUACCGGAUAAUAUAUUGAACCGCAUGGUUCAAUAGUGAAAGACGGUUUUGCUGUCACUUAUAGCUGGAUCCGCGCCGCAUUAGCUAGUUGGUAAGGUAACGGCUUACCAAGGCAACGAUGCGUAGCCGACCUGAGAGGGUGAUCGGCCACACUGGAACGGAGACACGGUCCAGACUCCUACGGGAGGCAGCAGUAGGGAAUCUUCCGCAAUGGGCGAAAGCCUGACGGAGCAACGCCGCGUGAGUGAUGAAGGUCUUCGGAUCGUAAAACUCUGUUAUUAGGGAAGAACAAAUGUGUAAGUAACUAUGCACGUCUUGACGGUACCUAAUCAGAAAGCCACGGCUAACUACGUG